GAUGAACGCUGGCGGCGUGCCUAAUACAUGCAAGUCGAGCGAACGGACGAGAAGCUUGCUUCUCUGAUGUUAGCGGCGGACGGGUGAGUAACACGUGGAUAACCUACCUAUAAGACUGGGAUAACUUCGGGAAACCGGAGCUAAUACCGGAUAAUAUUUUGAACCGCAUGGUUCAAAAGUGAAAGACGGUCUUGCUGUCACUUAUAGAUGGAUCCGCGCUGCAUUAGCUAGUUGGUAAGGUAACGGCUUACCAAGGCAACGAUGCAUAGCCGACCUGAGAGGGGGAUCGGCCGCACUAGAACGGAGACAGGGUCCAGACUCCUACGGGAGGCAGCAGUAGGGAAUCUUCCGCAAUGGGGGAAAGCCUGACGGAGCAAGGCCGCGUGAGUGAUGAAGGUCUUCGGAUCGGAAAACUCUGUUAUGAGGGAAGAACAUAUGUGUAAGGAACUGUGCACAGCGUGACGGUACCUAAUCAGAAAGCCACGGCUAACUACGUG
rnacentral:rRNA from 1 species